GACCGCGUAACUCAGUUGGCAGAGCAUUGGGCUAGUAUUCCAAAGGUCGUAGGUUCGAAUCCCACCGUGGCCG
rnacentral:tRNA from 1 species